rnacentral:ncRNA from 1 species
UGGCUGGGGUGGGACACCUGUAAAAAUGUAAGGCAGGUCUCUUAAGGCAAGCUCAGGGUCCGGAAACCUCCCACAGAGGAGAAGGGCAGAAGCUUGCUUGACCUUGACUUUCAGUACAAAUGCAGAUCAUGAAAGCAGAGGAUCAUGAUCCUUCUGGCUUUCUGGGUUUUGUCCAAAACCUCAAACAUUCCUAACUCAUAUUAUGUUUAUGCCUGUAAAUUAUAAUUGUUUUUGUUGUCUUUUUUUUUCCCAAAAAAAGUUCAGAAUCAUUAGAGCUGAAAAUGGCAAAUGUGAAGUCAAAUUUUUAAAAGGAAUUAACAGUAAUUAAGAGCAGAUGCCGUUCUCUCUGAUCUCAUCUCAUCUCAUUUAAUUUCUGAAAGAUUGUUUAGGUUUAGAGGAGACAGGAG